rnacentral:rRNA from 1 species
CGAAAUAGUUUGAGCUACAUAAUUAGUUCUUAUAGGACAAUGAUAUACGUUGCAUAGUAUAAUUUAAAUAUUUAUUUAGGGGUGAAAGGCCUUUCAAAAACUAAGAUAUCUUGAUACCAUAAAAAUGUAUUUAGUACUUAAAACAAAUAUAAAGUGGUUAGGCUUUAUAUUCUUACAAUAUUUAUUUCAUAAGAGUAAUAGAUAUAACUAUCAAUUACAUUAUAACUUAUUAUUACUAUUAUAAAUAUGUAUUAUUUAUAUGGUUCUGUAAUGAAAUUAUCAUAUAUAUAUUAAUAAUGUUAACAUAAGUACUUUUGUGAGGCUUAAAUAACGAACUCGGCAAAAAUUUUCUUCAACUGUUUAUCAAAAACAUAACUAUAUGAGUAUUACAUAUAUAGCUAUUUCUGCUCAAUGUGUUUAUAAAUAGCCGCAGUACUUUGACUGUGCAAAGGUAGCAUAAUCAAUUGACUUAUAAUUGAAGUCUAGAAUGAAGGAAUCUAUGGGGAAACGCUGUUUCUUUUAAGCUUAUAGAAAUUGCUUUAGUAGGUGAAAAAACCUACGUUUAAUUAAUAGACGAGAAGACCCUAGAAAUUUUAAUCAGAAAGUAAAGUUUCUUUUUUGUUGGGGCGACAUAGUAGCAAUUGAAACCUACUUUUUAAAUAAGAAUUUAAUAUAAAGAUUAAAUAAAUUACUCUAGGGAUAACAGCAUAAUAUUUAAAAGUUUGUGACCUCGAUGUUGGACUAGGAAAUUAUAGUUUAGAAGACUAUUAUAGAAGGCUCUGUU